rfam:Aedes aegypti strain Liverpool supercont1.1536 genomic scaffold, whole genome shotgun sequence.
UCGACUCGGUAACGAUGGCAACAUCAGCGAAAGCUGAUGGAUGGAGGUGACCUGGCAAUAGUCAGGUACCGGCGCAAGCCGCAAGCAGCUCAGCGAGCUGUGGAUACCUCACAAGAACUCAACAUUUUGCCACCCCGAUGCACAGUUACCAGUCG